rnacentral:misc_RNA from 1 species
UAGACACUGUAUGACGCCGUCCGA